rnacentral:rRNA from 1 species
UAGAGUUUGAUUAUGGCUCAGAACGAACGCUGGCGGCAUGCCUAACACAUGCAAGUCGAACGAAGGCUUCGGCCUUAGUGGCGCACGGGUGCGUAACGCGUGGGAAUCUGCCCUUAGGUUCGGAAUAACAGCUGGAAACGGCUGCUAAUACCGGAUGAUAUCGCGAGAUCAAAGAUUUAUCGCCCAGGGAUGAGCCCGCGUAAGAUUAGGUAGUUGGUGAGGUAAAGGCUCACCAAGCCGACGAUCUUUAGCUGGUCUGAGAGGAUGAUCAGCCACACUGGGACUGAGACACGGCCCAGACUCCUACGGGAGGCAGCAGUGGGGAAUAUUGGACAAUGGGCGCAAGCCUGAUCCAGCCAUGCCGCGUGAGUGACGAAGGUCUUCGGAUUGUAAAGCUCUUUUGGCGGGGACGAUAAUGACGGUACCCGCAGAAUAAGCCCCGGCUAACUUCGUGCCAGCAGCCGCGGUAAU